CCUACGGGAGGCAGCAGUGAGGAAUAUUGGUCAAUGGACGAGAGUCUGAACCAGCCAAGUAGCGUGCAGGAUGACUGCCCUAUGGGUUGUAAACUUCUUUUAUAAAAGAAUAAAACGAGGCACGUGUGCCUUUUUGCAUGUACUUUAUGAAUAAGGAUCGGCUAACUCCGUGCCAGCAGCCGCGGUAAUACGGAGGAUUCGAGCGUUAUCCGGAUUUAUUGGGUUUAAAGGGUGCGUAGAUGGGUUGUUAAGUCAGUUGUGAAAGUUUGCGGCUCAACCGUGAAAUUGCCAUUGAUACUGGCAGUCUUGAGUACAGUUGAGGUAAGCGGAAUGCGUGGUGUAGCGGUGAAAUGCUUAGAGAUCACGCAGAACCCCGAUUGCGAAGGCAGCUUACUAAGCUGUGACUGACAUUGAUGCUCGAAAGUGUGGGGAGCAAACAGGAUUAGAUACCCGAGUAGUC
rnacentral:rRNA from 1 species